rnacentral:rRNA from 1 species
UACGAAGGACCCGAGCGUUAUCCGGAUUUAUUGGGUUUAAAGCGUGCGUAGACGGUUAUGUAAGUCGGGUGUGAAAGCCCCGGGCUCAACCUGGGAAUGCCAUUCGAGACUGCAUAGCUAGGGUGCGGAAGAGGGAAGCGGAAUUUCCGGUGUAGCGGUGAAAUGCGUAGAUAUCGGAAGGAACACCAGUGGCGAAAGCGGCUUCCUGGUCCAGCACCGACGUUCAGGCACGAAAGCGUGGGGAGCAAACAGG